GGGGGGGGGUGGGGGCGGGGUUGGGGGGGGCGGGUGGGCGUGGGCGGCCGUGCUUGGGUGGGGUGCGCGAGUGGCGAACGGGUGCGUCACCCGGGAGUCACCGGCCCUUGGCUUUGGGAUAAGUUCCGGACCCGGGGGCUCAUACGGGAUAGGAGCUCCUGCCUCCUUGUGGUUCUUGUAAAGUUUGGUCUGUGUGGGAGGGCCUCGCGGCUUAUCAGGUUGAUGGUUGGGUAGUGGCUUACCAAGGCUUUGCCGGUUAGCCGGCCUGCGAGGGGGACCGGCCACAUGGGGAUGGAGAUACGGCCCAGACGCCUACGGGAGGCAGCAGUGGGGAAUAUUGCACAAUGGGCGGAAGCCUGAUGCAGCAACGCCGCGUGCGGGAUGACGGCCUUCGGGUUGUAAACCGCUUUCGCCUGGGACGAAGCGUGAGUGACGGUAAUGGGUAAAGAAGCACCGGCUAACUACGUG
rnacentral:rRNA from 1 species